AGUAUGCACCUCAAUCAUGCUCCCAGCGUUCCCGAACCCAGCCAGGUGCACACAUUUUCCGGACCAUCAGGGUCUAUCUUAGAAAGCCAGACGGCUUUCUCCUUAAGUAUCUGAACUGCACUUUCCCUUGACCACAGGCCACAAUCCAGGCACAAGAGGAUGCAUUAGCUAUUACUCAGGCUCUGCCUUGGCCUGCAAGGAGGAUGCCUAUGGCAAUUCUAUCAUCCAUACAACUCCAGGCCGGUUCUCCAGGAGUGGGGCUGUGGCCCUUGACCCUUAGUCUCCAUGACCAGACUGCUGAUAUCCGCUGCCAAACCUCCCUGACCGGAGUUGUGUGCUGUCCAGGACCUACCACUGACCAAAUCCCCUCAGCCCACAGUCUGUCCACCUGCUGGUUCUCUCACUGUCUUCCUCUUCCAAGAGCAUCCAUAUGAAUAUCAAGUAACCGUGGAACAGGACUGAAUGUGCCUUUCAUCUCUAAAUGCAUAUAAUUUUGGAAGGUUCAUGGCAGAAUGAAAGAGCAGUAUAUUGGCAAGGAGAAUGGAGUUGUUUCAGUCUCAGGAAUGAAUUGCUUUUUAUGUUUAUUGUUUCUGUGUUCAUAAGAAAAGAGAUGCUCAUAAAAAAAGGUGAAACAGUACAAAACAGGUAAUUAUUUUUUAAAAGUAGAAUAUCAUUUCCAGAAAUGAUGGAAAGAUGAGUCAAUGCACCUUUUAUCCAAUUUUCGGUUGUGUAUGUUAUGAACACCUCUCCCUUCCUCCAUUAAUGUAGACUAAUUGAGAAUUACAUUAUCUCAUAUGUUACAUUCAAAAAUAUUUGUUAACAUGAAACGGCUGCGACAAGUUUUUUACUCACAAUACCAGCUAGUGUUUCUUAGGUUUUUAAUACGUGUCAGGCACUGUUCGAAUUGGCUAACAAUAACUAUCUUAUUUAAUGCUCACAAUUCUCUCAGGAAGUUACAUUCUAAUUCCUGGUGUGUGGAAGUGGAAUUUGAGACAGACAGCUAGUAACCUGCC
rnacentral:lncRNA from 1 species